GGCACCUGGGAAACCCACAAAGUAUAGUUUUGUAAGAAGUUGCUAAGCGUCCCGAGGAGACAGUGCCUGACUUCUUGCCAGUCCUUGAGGUAGCGAUGUGGGAAAUUACAACACAAGGUCUAGCAAGUAAUGUUUUCUGUUUUGCUCCUGGAGACCACAGUUGCUUAAAUUUCAUUCUCAACGUUUACCACUCCUCAGCAGUGCUGUUCUGCAGCGAGAGGAAGUUGGGUCUGGAGGUAUUAGUCAGGCUUUAUUAAAGCACACUUGAGGUGAGAACAGAAGCAUAUCAGAGUGGCAAGUAGAGCAUCCUGGGAAUUUGGCUAUGGGGAUUACGCAUUGAUGAACAAAUGUAUUCACAAAACUAUUUUCCUGGGAUCCUGUGCAUCCCCAUACUCUUCCACUGCCUGGAGAAGGACCAGUAUGUGAUCUCGGUUAUCUCAGUCUUGGCUAGAGAAGCAGUCAACACAGAGGCUCAUAACUGGGCUAUGUGCCGUGGAACAGCUUCUUGUUCAGACACUUUCUAAGGGCAAAAAAGGGCAAGUAGAAAACGACGGUGGAAAAAGCAUUUGGAGCAGCCUGCAGUGCCCAGAAUGGAGCUGUUGGCAAAUCGCAGUCCACACCCCCACUUUUCAAUCUUUUCGCUAAUUUCUUACUACUUCACUUGAGAGAGUCCCAGAAGAACGGUGUGAUGAUUCAUCAGCCCUACUUCCUCAUUUCUGCUGACAGAGAGCUAACUUUGUCUCCAUUUCCAUGGUCGUCCCAAAAGAGCAAAAACAAAACAACUUUAAAAAAAUUUUAAUUUGCUACGUUUGGUGCGAAGUGACUUCCUGUGAGCUGGAGAGGCCAAAGGCUGGAGAGACCCCACUGUAGCCCAUUCUAUGACUGAGAGAUCCGAGACCCCAAGAGCCUACAAGAUUUCCUGUUUCUACACAACCGCUCAGUAGCAUACAGAUUUGGGCAGGGAUCUGCUAGUUUUAGGCUGUGAUUUUCUGUAACUUUGUGGAUGAUAAAUAGAUCGAAGCUUAUCUGUGCUAUGUCACAAGGAAACACAUAACCAUAAAACUUUCUGGCCAGAGUGCUUUCUCCUGCUCUGCAAGGCUCAGCGCUGAAUUUCCUGUGACAUUUGCAUCUGAGUUGUCUCAUUUCCCUGAAGCCCUGUCACAAGCCCUGAGGUUGCUACAGAGAAAGAUCUGAAACCCCCGCCAGGGAAGUCCCAUGGAGAAGUAUUGCCUUCCUUUCUGGAGUUUACAGCUCUCUUCCAGAUAGCUGACCCUCUCAGCUGUGGCUCCCAGGCCACUGAUAGGGCAAAGGGUGGUGGUGGCCAGGGACUGUCCCCCAGGUCUGCUUCUGGCCCUGGCUCCUUCCAGCAUCCCCUUCAGAUGACUUUGUCUGACUUUCCCCGAUUUUGUGCUUUGCUUUUCACCCUCCUCCCCCACCAGUGGAAAUUUAGAGGGUUCUGUGGUUCUUACAGGACUCUGGGGCUGUACAUUUAAUGUGCUCACUUCCUCUAUAGAUCCCAGGGGAUUCCUAAAGCAGAUUGCUUGCCCAGCACCCCAGCACGCUCCCUCACCCAGGAUGGAGUUGCCACAUAGGCGGACUCUUCAAAGUCUCAGCUACAAAAAUAUGUGUGUGUGUCUGUGUGUGUGUAUGUGUGUGUGUGUGUGUGUGUGUGUGUGUGUACAUCCAUUCAUUUUUGCAGCAUUUUUUUGUAAUUUAAAUUUACAUUUUCUAUAAUUUAAAUGCCAUGUGUCUAUCACAAUAAAAUAGUCAAUUUAAUUAAGUGUUUAUUUAUUUAAUUAUAGUAUGUAUGUCUGCAUUUCUGUGCUUAUAUAAGUGCUUGUGUGGAUGUGUCUCUGAGUAUAUUGUUCGUGUGUUUGCACAUAUGUGGUAGGUGUAUGUCUGUGUGUGUGCAUAUAUAGAUGUGUAUAUGGGUUUACGUAAUAUACAUAUAUGUAUGGGUAUAUCUGUGUAUAUAUGUGACAUGUGUCUAUAUUUGUGGAUUUGUGGUAUAUAUAUGUAAAUAUGUAUGUGGUACACAUGUAUGUAUAAAUGUUAUAUGUGUUUAUGUGCUGUAUGUGCACAGGUUUAUAUGUAUGCAGUAUGUAUUUAUGUGUGUGUAUGAGUGUGUGGUAUGUUUAUGUUUGUGUAUGUAUAUCCCUGUGUGUUUGUAUAGUGUGUAUAUGGAAGUGUGCAUAUAUUUAUGCAUGUGUGGUGUAUAUGUGUAGUAUACACACAUAUAUGCAUAUAUAUGUAUGUUUGUGCAUGCCUGUACCUUUAUGUGUAUGUAGUAUGUAGGUGUGUGUGGCAUGUAUACAUGGGUGUGUAUGGGUGUACUUAUGUGUAUACUUAGAUGUAUGUUCAUAGUUUUGUAUCUGCAUGCCUGUAUCGAGUAUAUAUGGAUGUAUAUGUGUGUAUGUGUGUACUUAUGUGUGUGGUAUUUAUAAGUCAUGUCUGUGUGUGUGUUUGUGUGUAUGUGUGUGUUUGUAUAUUUGUGUGGCUCUGUGUGUGUACAUUUGUAUGUGUUUGUCUCUCUCUUUUUUUCAUAUUUUGUCAGCAGGGGAUUUCCAUCCUGAGGGUCUGUCAUAGUACAAUUGACCCAUCUGUAGCACAUUAAAAAAUACAACUUUGUGUUAAGUGCUUUGGAAGGACAUUGAGUAACAUUAAAUAUUGCAAAGGUGAAAAGGAGGAAACAGGACCUGAGCUGCAGCUCAGCUGCUGAAUGCUUGCACAGUGGUAUGUAUAUGUGUGUAUGUAUGUGUGUGUAUGCAUGUGUAUAUAUGUAUGUGUGCAGGUGUAUGUGUGUGCAUACAUGUAUUUGGAUAUAUGUGUACAUAUAUGUAUGUGCUUCUGUGUGUGUGUGUGUGUGUGUGUGUGUGUGUGUGUGUGUAUUUGUGUGUGGCCCAAUAAGUUUCAUUAGGGCUAUUUACAGGAGGGGCUGUUUCCAGGACUCUGUGCACCUCGCAAGUGGCUACUGAAGAAAAUGUCUCUCCUUUCUCAUGUUAACUAAUAUUUUUGUAUAAAUCCUGAGGGAGGAGUAGAAUCCCAUGAUUCCCCACCCUGCAUGUUAACUGGCCCCUUCUUGUGGAAAUCAUGUCUGAGUUAUCAAGCUGUGGUGACUUCAGGAGUAUUAUAGUCCUUCAUAGUCCCUAUCCCCCUUCCUCUUGGUCUUGGGUUUCCUCUGUCUCAUCUUCCACCAUGUUCACUGAAACUAGAAGGGAAUAUUGUAAAUGCUUCAUUUCUUGAUGAACAUUCAAUAUUCAUCUUAUGCUCAGCGCUUUGACCAAUUAGGAGUCUUUGUAGUCACUUCUGACCACUACAAGAAAAAGCUUCUCUGGCCAGAAUUAAUAGUAGCACUAUUUUAUGGGCAUAAACACAAUUCAUUAGAAAGCAAUUUAACAGGCAUACCGUAUUUAGCAAAAUAAUAACAGUAAUUUCUCUCCCAGCAUCAAUAGCCCUUCCCCAAGUCAUGGGCUUUUACUGGGUUUAUAGUACCAGAUGUCAAUUUCCUUUUGUUGAGUAGGUCUCACGUCCAGUCAGAAUGUGGUUUGUUAUAGCCAUCACAGACUUUCCAUUAUUGAACCAAGAGGACAUCUUACCUGGUCAGAGGUACUACCACAAGGUUCAAAGUAAGAAAGACUUAAAAGCAGUUCUCCCUCAUUGGCUUGGACAGCACAAGCUAGCCAGCAGUAGGGAGCUUCCAGCUAAAUUACAGCUUCAUCGCUCUGUCUUUUGACCAAGCUUAUGGUAUCUUCAUCAACAAGGUCUUCUCUAUCGUUCUCAUGGGCAAGCAAGAGCAGAGCCAAUUGUCUGCAUUAUUGGGUAGGGGACAAAGGAGAAAGAUUGAGGGACUCAGAUAGCUCCACUUCCCCCUGAGGACCAAGGUUAAUGGUUGGGGGUGAGAGAUACUUUCCAUUUAUCCAUGUGAAAACUGUAAUUAAACUCAUGGGCUUGCAUGCAUGUACACACACACACACACACACACACACACACACACACACACACUUACCCUACCCUACAUAAUCACUUGUUUGAUGCCUCUAGAUGUUAUGUAACAUUCUCCCUGCCCAUUGAUUCAACAAAUCUCUAUCAUUCUUGGUGCCUGUUACUUUACCUAUCCCCUAACCCAAUCCAAAUCCACCACCAAGCUUAUCCCAUCCCUAAUUUUAGUUCAUUUAGUGUGUGUGUGUGUGUGUGUGUGUGUGUGUUUUAUAGUGAAUUAUAUGCAUUAUUCUCUGAAAAGGAAAAUUGAUUUAUUUAUUUAGUUUUGUUUUUUGGCUUAGUGCAUAAAGAAAUCAGUUCAUUGUAAAAUUUCAUGCGUGUGUGUGUGUGAGUGUGUGUGUGUAUCAAAUUUUAUUCCUAUCUGAACAUUCCUGCUUUUCUUUCUUCCCUAAACAGUUCACUCCUCUUUUAUUGACACAUAGAUUUCAUUAGCCUAUCCUGUUCUCCCUCCCUUUAGACCUCUUCUUGUCUUCUCAUAGUCCCUUUCUACCUUCACACUGGACACACAUACUCUUGCAUAUAUAUAAUAUAAUACAUCACAUAUUUGUACAUAUAUGUACAUUUAAAUCUAACUCUUUCACAUGGGAGAGAGCAUUCAGCAGUGGUUUUCCUAGUCUGAUUUAUUGUAUUUAAUACAACGUUCCCAGGGUCUACUCAAGUUUUGUAAAUGUCAUCAUUUUACUUUUCUGCCCAACUGAAUAAGAUCUCAUUGUUCACAUACGUGACAUUUCUUUGUACGUUCAUGGGUUGAUGGACAUCAAAUUUGGCUUUGUAUUUUGACCGCAGUGAAUGGCGUAGCAAUAAGCAUGCAUGUGUAAGGAUGUUCGUGGUGUGCUGAGUUAGGGUCAUCUGGGUGUUCAUCUGGGUCAUUCAGAACCUCUAUUUUUACUUUUGUUUGAGGAACCUCCUCCAUUACUGAGUUCCAUAGCAGUUGCAUACCAUCUCCUUCCCCCAGCAGGACAUAUGGUUCCGCUUUUGCCACAUCCUGGCCAGCAUUUAUUGUUUGUUGAGAAACACAAUUCUAAUGAUCCCCCCCCCCAAAAAAAACCCCUGAAAUUUAUUGUUCAUGCAACUGAAAAUGCCAGGCUGAUUUUGGCUGAAAUGAAGAUGUCUAAUAAUGUUUCUUACGAUUUUGCCCUCCAUGUUUCUAUUUUAGCAUUUCCCCCUGGCUUCUAUUUUUAGACAGACUUGCUCACAUAGUGGUAAAGAUGACCAUCUGCAGCUGGUGGCUUCAAUUCUGUUAACUUGCGAAGGACCAGAUGGAAAGCAUAUGCUUUAAAAAAAAAAAAACCCAAUUGGCCCAGCUUGAGUCAAGGGCUUCCCCUUGGAGCCAGCUGGUGAGACAACCCUGCGUCCAAAUGAGAGGAGCAAAUGGGACCUUUCCAAGAGAAAGAAUGUGUUCUACCAGAAGAGGAAUGUGAGUCUGAAAAUCCCAAGGAUGACCACUACACAGACCCCCUAUUGGUCUGUUGAGCGGGUUGACCUUAUGCGUGUAGAGGACUGCUCUGAGGACUACAGAACACGGCCCAGGUCUGCUCACAACUUCAGGAGUUUACAGAACUUCAGAGUUACUCUCCCAUAGCGUAACAUUUGAGGGAUCCCCAGCUCAAAGAGAGCUCUCUAGUGUGAACUAAUUGAUGGUGGGGAUGGGAACUUUGGGGCCUUGUAUCAUCUACUUCAAGGAGAGAACCUAAGUGGAGCAAAGCUUUGGUGCAUUCCAUGAAAGAAACAAACAGCAUUGUUCUGGUGAUGCUAUGCUGGUACUGCACAAGGGGUUUAUAUCUGUCCUUGCCUCUCUUCCUCUCAAUGCUUUUUUCCUAGAUAAGGUAGCUGAACCUUCAGUAGGAACAAAAUGAGCUCAACACCGAAUAUUGACAAGCACGGUAACUAGAGUCUGACUUUCCCAGAAAUCUCAGGGUUACUCCCAUUGCUGGGGGGUACAAGUACACUUAACUAGACCUGAUUUUUAUGUGAAUGCCAGGGAUCCAGUCUUGCUUCCUUAUCCUUACAUGGCAAGCCCUGUUCUUUUCUUGGACAUCUGCAGUCUGGUGAGUAACUGUAAUUCUGAAAGAUAGCAGAAUUUGGGAUGACUCCACGUUGUAUCUCCACAUUAACAUGUGUUUCCAUGGCAGCCAAGACAGGUGAGAAGGAUGCUGAGAGAGUAUCACAUCAGCAAUUGAGUAUGUAUGUCCAGAAUGAUACUCAUACAUCACUGACUAAAGGUAGUUACACCCACCAUAAACCCAAUUGCAAGAUGAUGACACAGGAAUACAUCUCAUCUCAAAGGAAAGCUAGGAAGGACACUGGUAAACACCACAACUAUCUUGUCUAUGACCCCAAACUGAUAAGGUAGAGAAAUAAAUAACUUCAGAAUUAAUAUAUGUCCUUGAAAUAUGUAGUACGUUUUGACACUCACGAGCCCCCUCCUCCCUAACAAUGCUUAUGAAUACUACAUUCUCUCCGUGUUUUGAUCAAAUAGGUGAAGUUGAGGAAAACAUCAUUAGCCUAUGAGUUCAUUUUGAAUACUGAAUUUUUUUUGAUUUGAAAUAGCUUAAAAACCACUCAUGGUGGGCUAGGCAAAUGGAUCCGAGCUGGCUAAUUAAAGAAAGUGAGAGUCCAAGUACUCCUGAGUUAAGCGUGCAUGUAACAACAUUAGUAACGAAAUGGAAAAUGCUACCCAUUUAUUCCAUUGUACUUACCUUUCUCAGUCAGAAAGCCUUUGGUGUCUACUGCAUUUCUGUCGGCGUUCCAUGGUGAGUUAAAUCAAUUAAUAUCUACUUGUAGCAAAGUGUUGACAGCAAAUUUCUAAAUUCACAGGCUCGACACUUUCCAGUGUAAUUGGGCAUACAUGAAAGAAUUUUUUCAGCUUGCUACUAAAAGCAACUCAGAAAAAAAUGUGAAGUGGGUGUUAACCCUUUGCAAGGAGGCUACCUGAUCUGGAAUGCUGCCCUUGAUGACCUUUUCUUGGAGAGAAGUUAGACACAGACUAUGUGGGAUCUCUAAUCCAUGAGCUGUGUCCAGAGGUCCCUGAAAAGUCUGGAAGGAAUUUUUUUCAGCCCACUAGAUGAAGGGAGGGCUUGGAAGAGAGUCCAAGAGAGUCUAAUGGAGAAUUUUAUCUGAUGGUGGCUGCUGUCUCAGCUUAAAAAAUAUUAAUACACAUAUCUCAGAGGGAGCUGGCUGAAAAUUAUUUAGUCUUGUGGAUGAGGAAACAGCAUGAGUGCAGGCUGUGUUAGUGUGAACUUGAUUUCAAUCCCCAACACUUCUGUGAGAAAGUCAGGUGUGGUGGCCCCCAUGUGUAAUUUUUGCACUGGAAGGCAGAGACAGGCAGAUUCCUGGGAAUUGCUCGCUCUAUAGUCACUGUAACUUAAUCAGCAAGCAACGGGUCAGUGAGAGACCAUGGGGCAAUAUAUUACCACUCUGUGUGACCCUGAGUACAAGAGGGGCCAUAACUAUCCUGGUAGGCUUUUAGGACAGGAGAUGAGAAGGCCCAAGGGGUAGCUGGUACAGGGUCCACUAGCACAGGAACCUUUGUUACAGAGUUCUUUGUUAUAGGAGAUGCUGAUACUUUGACGUUUUAUCUGAGCACCUCACUAUCUUGCAACAUCUUCUGGACAGCAGCUGAUCUUCCAGAGAAUUGAGGACAGUGUGGUGAAUGUUUUGAGAAGGUAGUUUAUCUAAGUCUGGAGAUAACACACGACUCUGGGGGCAGGUGUGGGGUGGCGGCGGGGUUGGAUGCUGAGAUCUGAAUCCCUUAUGGCCCUACUCGGGAAGUCAGCCAGCUGUCAGUUUUCAUGAGAAUGUGUCAUCCUCCUGGUAAGUAAGCUCCAGGCUUAGAAUCCAGAUGCCCCUUGUUUUAGGGUUUCAUUGCAGUGAAGAGACACCAUGAUCAAAGUAACUCUUCUUUAAGAUUUAUUUAUUUUAUGUAUGUGAGUGCACUGUAGCUAUCUUCAGAGACACCAGAAGAGGGCAUCAAACUCCAUUACAGAUGGUUGUGAGCCACCAUGUGGUUGCUGGGAAUUGAAUUCAGGACCUCUGGAAGAGUAGACAGUGCUCUUAACCACUGAGCCAUCUCUCUAUCCCCAAGGUAACUCUUAUAAAGGAAAACAUUUAUCCAGGGCUAGUUUACAGUUUCAGAGAUUAAGUCCAUUAUUAUCACAGCAGGAAGCAUAGCAGCCUGCCGGCAAACAUGGUGUUAGAGAAGCCAAGGGUUCUACAUCUUGAUCCACAAGCAGCCAGUAGCAGACUCUGACUCCACACUGGGCAGAGCUUAAGCAGUAGGAGACCUCAAAGCCCACCCCCAAUGUGACACACUUCCUUCAGCAAGGCCACACCCACUCCAACUAGGCUAUACCUCUUAAAGUGCCACUCCCUAUGGUCAAACAUUUAGAAGCCUGGAUCUAUGGGGGCCAUACCUAUUCAAACCACCACAAACCCUGAUUCCAACAGUUACCUGAACUCAGGGUGGCAGCAAUGGACACUUGAGGGUUUUGGUUUGUUUGUUUGUUUGUUUGUUUGUUUUUAAUUUAAGCAAAGUUUCACUGUAUUGCCCAUACUGGCCUUCAAUUCAGGAUUCUUCUGCUACUGGCCCCUGAGUGCUUCAGUUGCAGGUGUGGAUCUCUAUGUGUGCUCUGAACUGUGUUUUAUAAAAUGAUGCUAAUAUGUUAGGGAGAAUAUAAGUUUAUCUCACACAUUAUUUUAUUCAAAUCACAUUAAUGGGUAAGAAGGACCCAUCCCAACUGUCUUGAGGUUCAUAUGAGUACAUCCAGAAGACCUAGGGUCUGGUCAUGUUUAUUCCUGGUGUGGAAAGAAGGUAGAUGAUCUGGCUAUAUGUGUUCUUCAUGUGGAGUGAAGCUUGGGGUAUGGAUGUGGUGGUCCUGGUGUGAAGUGAAAUGACUGAGGGUCUAGGGGUGUGUGUGUGUGUGUGUGUGUGUGUGUGUGUGUGUGCGCGCGCGCCUAGAGUAGGGCUUAGGUGUGUGUUUCUGGUGUGGAGUGAGGCUAAGGGUUUGGGUGUGUGUGCUCCUUCUGUGAGGUGAGGUUGAGGGUUCAGGUGUGUAUGUUUCUGGUAUAGACUGAGGCUGAGGGUCUGGGCAUGUGUUCCUGGUGCACAGUGAGGUUGAAUUUCUGGCCAUGAAUACAGCUUGUGCCUCCUUUACCACUGCUUCUGUUGCCAAUGAACUGUCCAAUGUUCUUGUUUGUAUGUCCAUAAUUCAGAAUGGAAACCCUGAGUAGGCAAAGGGUGGCUUCCUCCAUGUUGGCACUUCAGUUUCAAGCCUUUCUAGAAUCUGAGGCCUGAGAACCAAAGGCUUAUGGCUCUAAGUCCAAUCCAGAACUUAAAGUUGUAAAACUUAGGUCAGAGGCUUGUUGCUUUGGUCCUUAACUAUCAGUGGUUGCACACACAGCUGUCCCUGGUUCAUGCCUCUACUGCUCAUCUAUAACUAUAGCUAACAUUGGUCUGUACUCGUGGUGACUAGUGAUAAAGCUCUCAAGUCUGAGUGUGCGGACUUUGAGCUCCUACUAGCAGCUAACAUUAUAGACCUCGGCCCUUGACUACCAGUAUUCUAAUCCUUAGGGAAUUGGCUCCCUAGAAUCCUUCAUCUUCCAGGGCCCAAAGUUUCUCAUACUUUAGUUAACAAGAUUGUGACCUUCCACAGUCAUGGGGCUCUACUUCCUCUUAACUUCUCUCCCUUUCCUACUCCUGCCCCUGUCUGUCCCAGCUCUACUCAGUUUCUGCUCCAGGCCACUCUGAAAUCUUCACCCACAUUCAUCAGGCAGCAGUCUCUGCUUACGUUGGUAGCCAUCAGCACUGCCUCCUUGCCAUGCUACUGCUAACCUUCUACAUCCGUGACAGAGAUCACAAGUAGAUCAGAACAGGCCAUCCAUUCAGGGAAGACCUAGUUUUUUGGCCUGAUAGUGCAACAUGUUGUCCUUGUUGGAGAGUGUCUUUUGGCUGACUCAGAAACUGAGAACACUAAUCGGAAGGGAGUGUUUGCUUGUGUGUACCACACAAACAUGGUGCUUGUAAUUAACACCAAUAACAGCACAACUUUCAGUUUGGGGGAAGUAUAAUCAUAGGUGUAUGGCCAUACCUGUCGACCGCAAGUGUUUUGCUGAGCACUAAGAAAGCGUUCUAUUUUUAUUUGGAUCAGAUUGAAGAUGUCUCAUCAAGAAGCCAGAUGUUUGGCAUGGCUGCAAGUGAGGUCCUUUAAAGUUCAGUGAGGCUUGCCUCCACUGAUGAAGGUUUCUUGAACAGUGUAUUCUAUUCCCCAGAACACAGUCUCUAGACCAGGACUCAUGUCUUAAAUAUCUAUGGUUCAUUGCAGUGUCUUAGUCAGGGUUUCUAUUGCUUCAAUGAAACAACCAUGACUAAAGGAAACUUGGAGAGGAAAAGGUUUAUUUGGCUUAUCCUUCUGUAUCACUGAUCACCAAUUAAGGAAGUUAGGACAGGAAGUCAAACAGGGUAAGAAUCAGUAGGCAGGAGCUGAUGUAAAGGCUAUGGAAGGGUUCUGCUUAAUGGCUUGCCUGUCAUGGUUUUCUCAGCCUGCUAUUUAAAAGAAUCCAGGACUUCCUGUCCAGGGAUAGCCCUACUCACAAUGAGUUAGACCCCUGCAUAUCAAUUACUAAUUAAGAAAAUGUUCUACAAGCUUGCCUAGAGUCAGAUCUUGUGGAGAUAUUUUCUGAAUUGGGGUUCCCUCCUCUCAGGUGACUCUAGCCUGGGUCAAGCUGACAUAAAGGUAGCCAGCACACACAAUAAAAGGGCACGACAGCAAAAGUUACUCAUUUCAUGGUCAGAGAGCAGAGAGAGCCUGACAGAGAAAAUAUUAUGUGCCGUUUCCUCCCAUUUUGAAGGGAAGUUUGUUAAGACCCAUCCUCUAAAGGAAAAACUCAGGGAAUAAGUGGCUGAAAAGCUUUAGGAAGUCCUUGAAACAGACAAAAUUCUCUAGAUUUGUCCCUCCCCAAACUUAUAUAAGCACUAAGGACUAUUGAGAGACAUUCUCAGAACAGCUAUGCUGCUUAGAAGAGGCUUAGACUAUUUGAUCCUAGAAGAAAAACUAUCCAACGUGUUGAGCUAUCUGCAAGGAGUAGCUGUUACUCAUGUUGGGAGUAGGCAUUUGGUGAUGGAGCUGUCAUUGAGUCAGCUCUGUUCCUGUAAGUAACCCCUCAGCCCGUAAUCCUGUCAGUACUUCAAUAAACUUAUCGGUACUCUGAUGAUAUCCUUACUUUGAUCUGUCAUUGUUUCCCUAUGUGGAGUGAAUAGACACUUGUUCACGUCUCCAAGUAACAGUAUCAUACAGCAGAAGGAGCCAGAGAUGAGAUAGAUUCUUCAACCAUCCAGCGAUAAACAUUCUCCAAGUAGACCACAUACCUAGUUUUCACCAUCUCUCAAUAAUGCCAUUGAAAUGUAACUCCAUCAAUAGAUAAGUCCAUUGAUGAGUUAGAAGUCUCAUAAUUCAACUCAUAAACCCAUCAACUGUCGGAGAAACCUCUUAGACGGCAUGCUUCAUACCUUCACCAUAAUCAACCACAUGUUCAAGUUCAUAUGUCUAAGUUGAUAAUAAGCUUGGAUUUUGUUCUUCUGAUUUGAAUUUUAUACAUGUUUGAUGAUAGCACAUUGCUGGAAUCAGAACCUUUAAGCUCUGGGUAAACUUGAAUAGAUUGAAUAUGAGUUAACAGCGCAUGUUUCAGGGUUUGGCUGGAGGUGUAGAAACCAGGUAUCUGUAGAUGUCAGUGAUGUGCUGAGGUGCUGGUGUCUGAAUUAGUCUUGUAAACAUAGAGACAAGAGAUAUGGAAGCGAUGAAGGUAGCACUCGUUAGUUGGUGAGUAGCAAGGUCAAGGGUAAGAUGUGGAGACUAGCUUUAGAAACCAGAAAUAGGAGGAAGAGAGAAAAUGAUGAUUCUGGCUUGAGUCACAUAGGGUUCGAGAUGGUUCCGAGAUAUCACAUGCAAAUGCUCAGUAGACAAUAUGGAGUUUAACACUGAGAAGAGAAGGUAGCUAAGUUACUGUUCAAUUUCUGUGAGCACUUGGGUCAAACCAAUUCAUAAAGCAUUUAAUGAGGGGGCUUGUUUACAGUUUUAGAGGGUUAGUCCAUUGUCGUUAUGGACAGAAGCAGGCAUGGUGCUAUAGCAGUAGUUAGGAGCUUUCCAUCCUGAUCUUCGGGCAGCAGGCAGAGGGGGUGGGGGGAGAGAGAGAGAGACAGAGAGAGACAGAGAGAGAGACAGAGAGAGACAGAGAGAGACAAAGAGAGACAGAGAGAGUGACAGAGAGAGAGACAGAGAGAGGCAGAGAGAGACAGAGACAGAGAGAGAGACAAAGAGAGACUGGCAUGGAUUUUUUGAAGCCUCAAAGUCCACUCCCAGUGAUAGACCUAUUUCAAGAAGACCAUACUUCCUAAUGCUUCCCAAACAGUUCUACCCUGUGGUGACUAAGCAUCAAAAAGAUGAAUACAUGGGAGACCUUCUCAUUCAAAUACCACAGGUAUUAAAUAUGAAUACUGAAAGUUGGUAGUUACCAGGGUACUGAUGGUAAUGAGAAAUCUUGCCUCAGGUAAGAGAAAUACCUGGGUACAGGCAGAAGAGUGCCAACUACCAUCACGUAGACCACAGGCUAGAACUUGUGGAGACUGUAGGAAAAGAGAUAUGGAGAAAACACCAGAUAGUAAUGACUCUACGGAAUGGUAAAAUCCAAAAAAACCACCGUGAAAUUAAGCAUGGACCCAUUUUUUAAAAUAUAUCUACUGUGAGUAGUCAGGAUGAGUCGAGGAAAAUUAGCAAUUAAUGGAGUUAUACAGGCUUUCCUUGUAAUGUCCAUUAUAGGAUGUGUGUGUGUGUGUGUGUGUGUGUGUGUGUGUGUGUGUGUGUGUGUGUGUGUGUUUUGUUUGGGAUUUAGCAAAGAAAAGAGAAAAUUGAGGUAGACAUUAUUCUUUGUCUUCUGUCGUAGACAUACAUGGACUACCUACUUCAUUUGUAAUCUAUGAAUUGAAUACGGUCCAUGGAGGGUAUAUAAGAAGUGGAUUCUGCCUAUCUGGACCCUGGUAAUCCAGUUUAGAAACCGACCCUAGUAAUUCUGGACCUUAGUAAUCCAGUUCAGGAACUGACAAAACACAUUGAAAAGGGCCAAAAGCUGACACAGAAAGUCAGGUCUACAAGAGGUUAGGGGAGCCGGAGGCAGAUUUUCAUUGACACUGUGCAACAGAAAGCUUAGGAAACUACCUGGGAUCGAGUCCCUUGUGCUAGAAUUUUUCAGGAUCAGGAGUGUUAGAAAGCUACUCUUAAGAUAGACUCUUGGUCUCACUCUCUACCACAUGCUUUUCUGAAUUCAGCAGGAUAAUCCUGUCUUUUCAAAACUGCUCCUGGCUCUUCAAAUCAGUCUCAUUCUGAGCAGGAACAAUGAGUAUUUGUCCUGAAUUAGCAACAGAUUCAACAGCUCAGAGGGAAGGCUAGAGAGAGUUUUCAACCACGGUUUAACUCACUGGCUUCUCCUGAGAAAGCCUCUAACUUCUUGCAGGAAGAGCAUGCAUUAUAUUUAGUAACUUGCCCUGAAGUAAGCCAGAGAAUAAUGUUGAAAGCUCACCGAAAGCACAGAGAACUUGUGGGGUUUGUUACUUGGCAACUGAGAUCUGAGCUGUUAAAAUAAGAAAUUUGCAUUAUUUUACAAUUUUUUUUUUUUAAAUGCAGAGCAUGCUGCUUUCUCUUCGAGGAGGGAGAAAAUAAGAUUACUACAGUUUCCAUUUCUGACUGUUGAAGAUAUCCCAGCCUCUUUGGGCCGGUGUUACACUCUAUGUUGUCCUCUGAAGUGGGUAUUUGUGCAGUCACAGUCUCCAAGUGAUGCAGCGAGUCUUGUCAGAGGCCCAGAGAUGCCAGGAGAAAGCCAAACGAGUAUUCAGACUGGAAAGAAUGUUAUCAGGAAGUGAGGAAUGCUCUCUUGAAUGUGGUACUCAGUGACAUCAUGGUGAGGAGACGGAGAAACUGUUGCAUCUGCCCCGUUUCUUGAACUUUCCUCUCCAGGCCUACUUCUUUUCUCUUCACUUUGUUCCUUUGAACUUGUCCCUGACUUUGUACACAGCAUCUGAGAAUGUGUCAAUAUGCCAUACAUACUGACCCAAAAGUACCUUAGGACACUGACAAGAGACAGGAAAAUGGAAAUAUUUGUAUAGCUCCUUGAAGAAAGUGGGGUGGGGGUGCUUUUUCUUUUUUCUCUUUCUUUCUUUCCUUCUUUCCUUCUUUCUUUCUUUCUUUCUUUCUUUCUUUUGUCCUUCCUUCCUUCCUUCCUUCCUUCCUUUCUUUCUUUCUUUCUUUCUUUCUUUCUUUCUUUCUUUCAAAAUAUGACUUGGUUGAAUCUUUGUGUCUCUGAAUCAUAUGAAACUCAAAGGGGUACUGGGCAUGCAGAAUGCUCUGGAUUCCACUGAGUUUCUUGCUCUAACUCUACUGUCAUUCCAGGGUUGUGAUAAAGGCCUGGGAUUUUGCAGCCACGUUCCACAUUGAUGAGUCAAUAGAAGGGAAAUUCCUAGGGUCAACUGUUCUGACAAUCUGGCAGAUAGCAACUUGGUGUUCUGAGAGGGCUAACUUUUGCGUGUUUAGAAGAUGGUGAACUGACCCUGUUGUAGCUUUCAUAUUACAUAUUAAACAAAGAAAUGCAUAUCCUGCUUUUAUUGAAAAUUGUUAAAAAAAUUUCCUUUCUGUGUCGCCAUGAUCUCAUAAUUAAGUCAGGAGGAUACACUACUGCAAGCUGACACUUGGUAAGAGUGUGAGCUUUGUUGCUAUGUUCUCCUUAUAUCUGCAACUAUCUAGAAGGGGUCAGGGUAUAUCACAGAUGUGAAAUAAAUAUCUGUUGAAUAAAUAGUUUACAGAACGCCAUACACUUGCACAGUGUAAAAGAGACUUGUUCUGUCUGAUAAAAUAGGAGAUUAAAUUCUGACUCAAGUUACUUGACUAUUUUUCUAGACAAAGAUCAUAGGAUAUGACCGUUUGUAUUUCAUAAAUCUGUAACAUUAGACGUUUUCCGAUCUGUUAUCUGUUUGACAAAAAUGUUAGCUGAAGAGCCUUUUGGUCUAAAAGCUACAGACCUGAGAAUAUAGUUUUUCUUAUGCUUCUUCUAUGGCUCUAACAAAAGCACAUCUACUGGAUGGCUUCUAUGAGGACAACUUUAGAACAUUCAGAAUGAAUGGUAUCAAGUCAUUCUCAGUAAUUACACAGAGCAUCACCAAGUGUAGAUAAAUGUUAAUUCCUGGAGUUGUAGCCAAUGAUCUGUUUAGAUAAUUCAUAGAACUAAGUACUUAUUCUUUUUUUUUUUUUGGUUCUUUUUUUCGGAGCUGGGGACUGAACCCAGGGCCUUGUGCUUGCUUGGCAAGCGCUCUACCACUGAGCUAAAUCCCCAACCCCCUAAGUACUUAUUCUUUAUUAAUCCCUGCAUUGGUGUGGACUAGUACUGUGACAAGUAGCAUUUAGAAUGCAGUUGGAAAAAAACAGACAGAAAUAAGAGAUCAUUAAUUACAAAUUAUGGGAAAGGAUGUGAAAGACUGGGUCUAGAUUACCAGAGGGGAAAACUAGCUAUUUGUACCAUGUCGUACAGUGCAAGAAGAUACAGAUUAAUAAAUUAGGCAUGGUAUAUUUAAUUUAGCCAGCUUCUAAACUUCAGCCACUGUACUGGGUACAAAAGAAGAUUGCAGCAUAAUUUUAAUUUACAUUUUCCAAACAACAAACAUCACGAGACUAUAUAUUCUGAAAUGUUUAUUGAAGUCCCUGCAGGUUAUGUGCCAGCACAGGGAGAUAGCAAGUUCAAGACCAUCCUGAGCUAUAAGACUAGACCUAGUCUCCAAAGAGAGACAAGCUAAAAACAAAACAGAAGUCUAUAAAAGUCUUUCCCCCUUUGAUACGUUAUAGUGGCCAUUGUAUGGAUUUGAAAAGUACUUUAUGCAUUCUAGAUAUACUUCUUCAUCAUGCUUUAAGCUAGUAAAAAGAUUUAAUUUUUAAAUGCUAUCUUUAAUUCUUUUUUCUGCCUUCAUUUAAUAAACACUUGCCUACCACAUGAUACAGAAUAUUUCUGAACUUUCUGUCCCACCAUUCUGAUGGCUUUAAUGGCAUAGAAGGUUUUCAGUCAAGUCCUGGAAAUUGUCUUUAUAAAUAGGAGUCCCCAUGUUCCUGUAUGCUUUUUAGAAUCUGCUUGUUGCUUUCUUUUAAAAAAUGGCCUGCCAGGUGUGUGAUUUAUACCUCAUUUCUCAAAAAAUGUCCUAGCAAUGCCAUAGUUUUAUGUAUGAAGGCUUUGGAUGACUUUUAUUAAAUUUAUACCUAGGGUUUUAGGUCUUUUGAGAACAUUGUACAAGUAUUCUUUUGACAUUUUAUGUUUCCAGACAUAAAGGCAGAUCUGUAAUUCAAAAGAGAGAGACAGGGAAAAUUCUGAGAGUUCAAGGCUACAAACCAACUUUCAAGCUUGUCUUCAGAAGAUAAAUUAUGAUUAUUAUAUUGAGAUUAUAGAAUAUGCUCACAAACACAGAACAUUGUCUUACUACCAUCUUCGUGAAUUAUCACUUACCUCCACCCCCAGCAAAAUUGAGUCUCUGACAAAAACAAGGCAUCCAGAUCUGAAAUCUUUUGAAUUAAGCUGUGCCUUGUGCACAAUGCUUCCUCCUCUCUGACUAUGCCUGACCUCCUGGAACUGCAAGGGAUUCUGUAGUCCCAUACUGUUCACAAGUGGAAAGAAAAUAGUCCUGGAAGGAUACAGAGUCUGGAUGAUAGAAGAGAAAGAGGCAGAUGCCCUGGAGAUGUGGUCUGGACCACGCAAUUGAAUGUGCGAUUUUUUACCAUAGUCACACAAGUAGGUAGAUCUUGGUUCUCUGGAUUUUAGUAUCAGUUCUGUGCUCAGUCAAGUAGUUGAGUAAGUUUGGUUGUCUAAGUUGUCUGAUAGGGCACCUAAAGAAAGUUUUUCCUCUUCUAAAACUGGUAUAUUAUCAAUUCCUUCUUUGAUUGCUUUAUGGAACUUGUCGGAUGAUUAAAUGCUGCUUGGAAAUAGCAAACUUUUAGCCAAAUGUUAAAUGUGGAUAAGGCUGAAGUCUGGUGUGUGUGUGUGUGUGUGUGUGUGUGUGUGUGUGUGUGUGUAUGUGUGUUUGCGUAUAUAUGUGUGUGUGCGUAUGUGUGUACGUAUGUGUGUGUAGUUGUGUGUGUGUGAUGUGUGUGUGUUUAUGUGUGUGUUUGUGUGUAUGUGUGUGUUUGUACGUAGUUUUGUGUGUGUGAUAUGUGUGUGUGUUUGUGUGUAUGUGUGUGUGAGUAUGUGUGUUUGCGUAUAUAUGUGUGUGUGCGUAUGUGUGUACGUAUGUGUGUGUAGUUGUGUGUGUGUGAUGUGUGUGUGUUUAUGUGUGUGUUUGUGUGUAUGUGUGUGUUUGUACGUAGUUUUGUGUGUGUGAUAUGUGUGUGUGUUUGUGUGUAUGUGUGUGUGUGUGUGUGUGUGUGUGUGUGUGUGACACUGUAUGUAUGUGUGCAUGAAGAGGUCAGGACUUGAUAUUGGAUGUCUUUCUCUGCCACCCUCCACCUUAAUUUUUGAGACAGUUUCUCAGGAAACUUGAAACUUGCUUAUUGGGCAAGACUAGUUGGAUAGAAGACCACUAAGAUCUUGUUUCUGCCUGUCGGGAGCUAGGAUUACAAGCAUGUUCCAUCAUAUGUGGCUUUUGCGUGUGCUGUGUAUGUCAGUAUGUUGUGGAUCUAAACCCAGGUCCUCAUCCUUCACUGGCACCCACUUGCAGAUAUAUUCCACAUCUAUAGUCCCUGAAACGUUUUUUUUUUUUCCGGGGCUGGGGAUUGAACCCAGGACCUUGUGCUUCCUAGGCAAGCGCUCUACCACUGAGCCAAAUCCCCAACCCCCUGAAACAUUUUUAAUAGUUAUGCAAAUAAAGUUUUUUAAUUUUUAAUUUGGCUCAGAAGAAUAUGGGAAAGUGGUACAUUGACAUAAAAUAGGUAAACUAGGGCUGUUAAGAUGGCUCAUAAGGAUUUCUGUUGUCAAAAUUGUCAACCUGAGUUCAAUCUCCAGGACAUAGGUGGUAGAAAAAGAGAUUCAACUCUUGACCUUUAUCCUCUGACCUCCACACAUGCAAUUUAGCAUGCGCUCUAUCCCAGUGAACAAAUAAAUACAUGUAAUAAACUGUAUCUUAUAAAAAUUAAAAAAAAACGGUAUCCCCUGUGUGCCUGCCAGGAACUUGCAUACACGAUUUCAUUUCAUCUCUGCUAUAUCCCCAUGAGAGUACAGGAGGAAUUCUGAGAUAAGAAAUAUUAUCUUCCCUUAGCAAGUAAAACUUCACUUCAAAGAGAUUAUAUAAUAUGCUAAAGGUUCUUUAGUUUCUAAGUGUCUAGCUCUUAAUCUCUUCGUUUUCUGUAGAGCGAACUGUCUAGAUGAGGAACUGGUGAAUGCUGACACAGAAUGUGAAGAAGGACUAUGACACAUUCAGGACUCUUGGGCUUCUUCACUUGCUUGAGUUUUCUUUGUAUAAUCACCCUUGAGCACCACCAUUCCCUCCUCGCCUUCAAGGGACAAGACAGAUCACAGAUGAAAACAUCCUCCCAGUUUAUGGCUGUGGCAUUUGCAUAGAUUUCAUAUUUACUUUUAGUGACUACACUGAAGUCAAAUCUUGGUUCUAAAGUGCUUGGCUGUGCUAGACCCAUGGUAGAUGUUGAAGAGGAAGACAUAUGUAAAUCCUGCCCUCAGGAAGCAUUGUCUUUAGAUAUGGGACAGGAUGUAUGCUCAGAUAGAGCAUUCAAGAUAAUUGCUGACAGCACACAGGUAGCGCCAUAUGAAUGCACAGAAAUUCAUGCAACAGGAUUCACAGGGCACUGAAAGUGUGAGUGGGUACUUGCACUUUAAUUGAAUGGAAGAAUUCAAGUCAGGAAGAGGGUAUAUUUCCUGACAGGAAAGAUGUGAUGGGGUAAAACUUUAUAUUCAUUUCUGGAAGGAGCCAUGGAAGGCAUAUGGCUGGAGAGUUGUCCGAUCUGUUUAGCUGAACCUGUGGUCUGGAGAUAGCGUGCCUAAUGCACAAUUGAACACCCAAACAUCAAUGACCAUCUUUGAGAUACUGGCUGUUGAAGUAAUCACAGACACACACACAUACACACACACACACACACACACACACACAUACACAUUACAGACUCUUAUACACACAUGUGCACAAUACCCAUUGCGAUGUCUGAAAUGGAUGCAACGGAGCUGUUGAUCACCCAGGCCUGCAGGGAAGACUUAGCAACAGCAGGAAGUGCUAAUGUAUCAUCCUCAUUGCAGUCAUCAGUAAUGGGGUACAUGUCUGGAGAAGGCAAUUCACGCUGCUUCUUAUUGGCCUCAAAAACUGUUUUUGUCUGUAAUCGUCCUUGCUUUCUCUUAUGUCUUCAUAGCAAGGUUAGUCCUUCCUUUGGCUCCCAUUCCUUCCACCUUUCCUAUGAAAUAAAUCUUCCUAUGCCGGAGUCUUAAUACUGUAGAGAUGAAAGGCUUUGCUUUUCCCAGUGUACUUAAAAUUAAGAAAAGACUCACAGUGCUAGGCUGGUAGGAGCCAGGGACUUGCUAGGAUGUGCGUAUACAUAGUCUGUAGCCUGAGAAGCUGCAAAUGUUAACUCAAGUGGUGCAAUCUAUUAAAGAAUAGAUUGCUCUUCAAUAUUAAGUAAAAUACUAAAUAAUAAAUACUAAAUAAUAAAAUAUUAAGUAAAAAUAGAUUGCUCCUCACUAUUAAGUAAUAUACUCCAAAUGGGAAAGCCAACCCAAAUGGGAACAAAAGGAUCAUGAAUAUGACAAUGCUAUUAUUUCAAAAUACGGUUCAUGUCCUUAUCAAUUGAUUUAUUUGUUUAUUGAUUGAUUGAUUCAUUGAUAUAAUCUGUCUUUAGGUUACAAUUGCUGCGAAGAGACAACAUGGCUAAGGCAACUUAUCAAAAAAAAGUAUUUAAUUGGGAGUUUGCUUACGGUCACAGUAGGGAGACGGCAGGCAGGCACUGGAACAGUAGGAGAGUGCUUAUACCUAAUCCAAGAGAGAGAGAGAGAGAGAGAGAGAGAGAGAGAGAGAGAGAGAGAGAGACAGAGACAGAGAGACAGAGAGAGAGAGACAGAGAGAGAGACAGAGAGAGACAGAGAGACAGAGAGAGACAGAGAGAGAGACACAGAGAGAGAGAGAGAGAGAGAGAGAGAGAGAGAGAGAGAGAGAGAGAGAGAAUGAGAAUGAAUCUGAAGUGGGCUUUUGACACAUCAAAGCCUACCUCCAGUGACACAUCAUUUCUUCCAAGGCCACACCUCCUAAUCCUUCCCAAACAGUCUACCAACCAGGAAUCAAACAUUCAAACAUACAAGCCUAUGGGGACAUUCUCAUUCAAACCACCAUAGGGUCUUACUACAUAGCAUAGGCUAACCUUGAACAUACAAUCCUCCCACCUUAGCUUCUAGAGUGCUGGGAUUACAGGUAUAUACCACCACACCUGACAUUGCUUUAAAACAGAACAGAAAAAAAUAACGGUCACUUCCAUUGCUUUCUUUGAGAGUCUAUGGUGGCGAAGCAUGGUAGUUCAUGCCUUUAAUCCCAGUUCUUGACAGGCAUAGACCAGAAGAUUUCUGUGAGUUUGAGGCCAGCCUGGUCUACAUAACAGGACUAUCAGGACUAUGCAGAGAGGCCCUGUCUCAGAAAGCCCAAAUCAAUAAAUAAGGCCACAGCACAUACAUGGGCACAGAUAGACAAGUCAUUUACAGCCCUGCAACAGAGUCCAGUCAGCAGCAGCUGAGUGGGGAAAACUACUGAGCUCUCUCUGCUCUGGUCUUUCACAAAGUGCCUGCACCACGGCACUCCUACCCUUUGAGAUCCACCACAGACACAGUGAAGCUAUGUACGUAGGGAGAAAACUGCACAUGCUCUAGACGGAAAAAGCCUGAGCACUCUUCAUUUUUAUGAGCUGCCAAGCUUUGCUGCUGGCUAAUGUUUACAUGAACAGAGCAAUGUGACUUUAUAUUCAGCUCACUUUGCUGAAAUAUGCAUUUACAUGAGAGAAAUGCAGGCUCCAGUAUGAUAUUUCUAUGUCAAGUUUUGUGUACAUAAAUGCACAUGAAUGACACAUGGGAGGCCAGCAAACACAUGUAAUGUUUUCCAGCUUAAAUGCUUGAGAGUCCUUAAUUGAAUGCAAAGAGUAGCGCGUAUCACGCAGAAGGAGAGGAUCUAAAAUGGCAUUGUUUGCAGCUACAAGGGAUCCCCAGUGUGCAUGGGCCAUUUGUGGACACCGGUGGGGAUGGGAGUACCACAGGGAUGGCUGCAGCAUCAACGAAUCCCAAUGGCCUAGAUUCAGUUAUAGAUUACAGACUGCUGCCUGGUGUGGCUAGCUCUGUACCAACAGCCUGCUUGCAGUUCCAUGGAUUGCCUGGCAAACGGGGCUGACCCAUUUCACCAUGACAAUCUGUGCUGCUCCACUAAAGGCUGUGUGCAGGGAAAUGCUCACCGUCAGCAUUUUCAAGAUUCCCCCAAUGAAGUUUACUCGGAGUUUUUAAAACACACAUCUUGAAAAUCCAACUAAAACAGACACCCUUUGACAGCGUUGGAAGAGCUGGGGAAGACAGAUGAGAACAAGCGAAUGUUAGCGUUUUCCGAGUUCUACACUAUCAGCAAAAUGAGGCCUGUUUUGUUUUCCUCCUCCAGUGGCAUCAUGAUAAAGACACAUGCAACCAAAAUGAAGUAGUCAUUCUCUAAAAGAGAAUGUACAGGUUGAACAGAUAAGGGGAUAUCUCCCACGGCUACACGUAUUCUGAUCUUUUAAAACAGAAAAUAGAGAAUCCAAUAAUUUCACAAUAAGUAAAUGGAAGGGUUUAAAGUGGAUUUAUUACAGCCUUGGCUUGGAGUUAAUGUGUGUAGAACUGAGUUUCAUUGGAGUACUACGAUAGUGUGCCUCUUGGGGGGUGGGUGGGUCUGUGCUUUGGUAAAGGAAUUCCAUUUAGGGAGAGCAAUUUAGGGAAAUCAGGCCCUGGUAUGUGCAUGUGAUCACAUUAAAAUGUAACCUCUGCUUGUCUGAUGAAAAACACAGCCCAGAAGUGAUGGCAUUUGCAGGCCUUUCUACUGAACGCCGUAUACAGAGCUUGGCAUCCCUUUUUUGUUGAGUUAGUUCAGGAAGGUAAAUCUUAGAACCUCCUGCACUUUUUCUGUUUUGUGCACAGGAAAGGGAGUCCCAUCAGGCUAAAGAAUGGCUCAGGGCUUAUUAACAAGACUGUAGCUUAGGCCUGGGCCAGAGAAUAUUUACUCAGGUGUAAUAGAUUAACAUGUGAGUUUUGUUUGUUUACCUUAGGAACAGGGUUCACUUUGUAACUUAGGUGUGCUAGGUAGGGUGGUUUUUUUUUUUUUCCUUUUUUUUUUUUGUCAACUCGGAUAAGGUAGGGUUACUUGGGAAGAAGAAGCCUCAUUUAGGAAAAUGCAUUCGUCAGACUGGUCUACAGGACUCUGUAGGGACAUUUUCUUGAUUUGUGAGAGGACCUUACCCACUGUGGGCAGUGCCACAAGAGUAAGGCACAAGAGUAAGGAGCUGGGCAAGCCAUCAAGAGUAAGGCAGCAAGCAAUGUUCCUCCUUAGCCUGUUUCCGUUCCCACCCCAAGUUCCCUCAGCGACAGACUAUGAUCAAUAUGAUCAAGUACAUGUGAGCUAAACAAACCCUUUCAUCCCUGAGUUGCUUUUGGUCUUGGUGUUUUAUUACAGCAACUGAAAGCAGCCAGGGUACCAGGUAAGCCUUGAGCAUGCCACAUAGGCCAGGUACAUCUACUCUGAAGGAGGGGAAUGGGAAAAUCAGCAACAGUCUAGGAAAAGCAGCACAAGGCAAUUUAGGGAGGUGUACAAGGAAAACAAUAGCACAGCAGCAACGCUCCCCUCCUUAAAUCCAGCUACUGAAACGAUUUUCUUCUUCCUACUGCUGCCUUAAGCCCAGUGUCCGUGUCUCCCGGUCACCUAGAACCAAUCUCUAGCUUGUGUCAAAAGACUGCCUUCCUUUUGGAGAAGCUUCUAGCUCUCUUUUCAGCUGUGUGCCUGCUAUUUUUCAUCCCAGGGCCCACUGUCAGUGAAUGGUCUAUUAGGUUAUCUAAAUGUGUACUAUCUUGCGGUCAAUCCAUCAGUAUUUAAAAAACAAUGAACAUUGAGAUGUAUCGAACAUGAAAUAAAGAUGACAUCCUUCUCAAAAACGGUUGAGUGUGAAAAUGUAACAAAACAAUAGAUCAAGUUUUUCAUGACCAAAAAAUGAAACCAUCAUCUGGAGAACUAUACACUCUCACCUUGUCUCCUGUCUUCCUGGAUGAGUUAUCCAUAGUGUUCCUCUUGCGUCUUCGUUUCAGUGAUAAAUCACACGACUUCCUUAUCAUGAGCCGUCUCCCUUGGUAUCUGCAGUUCAGUUUCCUGUGUGUGGUGCAGUUUUCUCAGAGAGUUGGCUCUGCUUUGGAAGCAGCAGCUACCACCUCCUGGCAGAAACUCUAUGGCAUUCAUAAGGAUGAUCAAGGUAGAUUUGAUCGAUUGUAGGAGUGACUUGAGGAUAUCACCACCCAAAGUGGGAAAGAAGAAAGGCUCAGAUUGCUGUCUUGUUCUCUCCGGAGUAAUUUUCUGUACUCUGCUCUCCACAGUUCCCUGCUCCCCUCUAGCCUCGUCUUCCUCUGUCUCUACAUCAAUAGGUUGGUCGUGCUCUACUGUUUACUUUCCCAAGGAAACACAAUCACGCUCUCCAAUCCUAUACAGGCUCCAGCAUACAAAUGAUCAACAGGAGCUUUAAAGUUCAGGGUUUUGGUCUCUCUAUUUUUCUUUCCUUUGUUUUUUUUAAAUAGUUCUUUAAAUUUUUUAAAAGAUAAGAGGAAUUGCAUGAUAAAGUUAAGAACUUUUGGUUGAAUUUCUGGGACACACCCUUAAAAAAUCACACAGGGUUCCUAAUGGUGGUCAUACCAAUGGCCCUAGUCAAAGUAGAUCACCAUAAAAAAACAAAAUACCCUGCCUGAGAAGAAAAGGGGGGAUGCAAAAGUGGUAGUGAAAGGUGCCAGAAUGCAUGGUAGACAUGUAUGAACUUGUCAAUGAACAAAUGUAAAUCAAUAGAAAAGGAAGAAAACCCACAUUCUACCGUUCCUUAUUUGGAAGACAAGAAACACGGCCAGUCUUUUCAAUGCUAGGCCUUUUGAUAGACAAGGCAAUGCAUUUAGGCCACAGUUAGGCCACUUCCUUAAUUGAGUUGUUCAAUGGCAAUCUAGUUGUAUGAUAAUUAAUUUUUAUUGUGUGAUGAAAAAUGAAUGGAUCAUGAUAUUAAAAAACCAAAGAAUUUAUUAUCCCCUAAUACUAAAUUCAUAAAAUAAAAAUAAAUUUAUAAAAUAGAACUAAAUAUCUCUUCAUUUCAAAAAUAGAGACCAUGUUGUUUUAUCAGAUUAUCCAAGACCCUUCUGAUAAAUGGGAUAGUGUCUCCUUCCCACUUUUAAAUCACCAUUUACUUACUGACUUUUGUGGUUUGCUCUGCCAAGAUGCUCGGUGACUAGUGUACACAUACUCUCUGGGAAGGGUUUCAUAGUUCCGGAUCUGAACUUCUGCACAGCUUUAAUGGAGUUCAUUACCUAGACAUGCACUGUCUUGUGGAUUGAAUCAUCUUUGUGAUUUGAUCAUAAUUGUGCCGAGGCUUAGAACUACAAGGCAGUUCGUGAUGCAAAUGACCAGCUGGUUUCAGAAAUACCAACACAUCCUCUGACGGGAAAGAAUCACACGUCUUGACCUGCAAAAGUGUUGAGGUAGCCUGAGAAAUUUUACAUUUUUCUUGCUGUUAGAAAUUAACCCUAGGGCCUUGAGCUCUUUAUCACCGAGCUAUAUUCCUAGGUAUCUUUUUACUCUUUAGCCUUUUGAGACAGGGUCUCACAGAGUUGCUUGGGGUGGUCUUGAAGUCACUUUGUAGCCUAGAAAGGCCUUGAACUUGUGAUAUUUCAAUCUCAGGCUCCAAAUAGUUGAGAUGACAGACCUGCGUCAUGAGGCCCAGGUAAGAAUAUUUAGUAUUUGUGCAGACAGGAUUCAUGUGAGUAUGUUUGUGUCUCCCCUUCCCGUCAAAAAGUUGCCAUACAGUUUCUAUUGCUGUGUAAAACAUCAUGGCCAACAGCAGCCUGGCGAGGAAAGAGUUUAUGCAGUGUACUUGUCCUGAUCAUGUCUAUCAUGAAGGGAAGCCACAGCAGAAACCCAGGGCAGGAGCCUAGAAACAAGAACUGAAGGAGAGGCCAUGGAAGGAUGCUGCUUGCGAGUUGCUCAGAGUGCUUUCUUGUGUGACACAAAACCACUCUAGUACUGACACUUUCCUCAUUGGGCCAGGACUUUGUACAUCAAAAAUCAAGCAAGAAAAUGACCCCUCAGUCUUGCCUAUAGGCCAGUCUGGUGGAAACAUUUUCUCAUUUGAUGUGUCCUCUUCCUAGAUGAUCCAGGCUAGUGUCAAGUUUACGAAAACCUAAUUAUAAAAGUUGUGUUUGUUGGCUUGUUUCAUGUAUUACUCAUAUGCUAGAUUGUUAUCUUACUGAUGGAUGUCGUGAAGUGAAUGAGGAUGUCCCCACAGGUCCAGAUAUUUGAGUGCUUCAUUCCCAGUGUGAAAGGGAAGGGUUACAGGAUGUUGGAAUAGGUGUGUCAUUGGAGGUGUGCUUUGAGGGUUUCAAGGGCCCAUGCUAUUCCCAGAGAGCACUCUCUGCCUUGUGUUUGUGAACCAAGAUGUGAGCUCCUAUCUCCAGCGCCAUGCUUGCCUACCUGCCUGCUGCCGUGCUCUGUGCCAUGAUGGCUGUGAACUUACCCUUUGAAAUUGUGAGCCCCAAUAAACUCUUUUGUAAGUCACCUUGGUUAUGAAGUUUUGCCAUAGCAGUAGAAAAAUAACUACCACAAUAGAUAACAUUCAUUUUACUUUGCUCUUAAAAAUAUUACUUUUCUCAGAUAUGUUUUCUUCUUAAAAUACAUCUUAUGUGAUUUUUAAAAAAUAUAUAUUGUUCUUCAGGCAGAGUCUCAUGUAGCCGAAUCAAUACUACUUCCUCCCCCAACACACACACACACACACACACACACACAAGCAUUGUCUCAGUGAAGUGGUUUAAUCAGGGCAAAAAUGUGACAAACAGGCUAAUUGGAAAUAAUUAAGGCUAAGCUAUCAUGGAAGGAAGAUUAGCAUGGCCCUUAAUUGCUAAAGCUGGUACAGAUAGUUUAGGAUGUUUAGGACAGUGACAUUAAAUUGUGGUCAUGGAUUACCUGGAAUAUUUUUGUCUUUUUUUUUUCAAAUUAAGAAAAGUCUUCUUUAUUCUUAACUUUGUGUUGAGUGAAUUCUGACUCUAAUUGUAAGGGACUUUCUAUUUGAUAAGGAUAAUCCCUGAUUCAAUGCUCGGAAGAGGACAAGAUGCUGGCUAGAACACAAGAGUUCAGGUGACUAUGAAUUGUGGCAAUGCUGCAAAACAAAGGUCACAGUGGAUGAUGUGGUAAUUGGUUCUUAUAUUAAAACAAUUAUUGUGAAUGCACCGGCCAUGCCUUGUAUAUUUGUGUCUCUCUGUGUGGAUAGAACUUCUUAGUAUUCAUGUGUAGGUGUGGAAUCAGAACAUGGAGAAGGACAGAAAAGUAAAGGAUUUUAUCUAAAAGCAGAAUAUUUGGUGAAUUUAGAUUUAAUAUGGUCUACCGUCUUAAAUUACCUGGAUCAGGCUUGCUCGUCAUGCAUCUGACCCCGAAGUCAUGUCUUUGAGAGCUAUGCUAGUAUUCAUUCUUGUUUGUGUAGAGUUGUCCAUGAUCGCUGUACUUUAAUGUGGUCUCUUGCAUUGCAAACAACAGGAAUUACUGGCCUUGAGAGUUCCUGAGAGGCGGGGGGAGGGUUGCGCUCACACCUCUUCUUUUAGAAACUUGAUACGGAAUAUCUCCCCGCAUCUGGAAGAGAGAAGAAAGAGACCAUACAGGCAUUCUGUUAUACACAAUGCUGAAAUAAAACCUUCCAUUGUCCACCAAGACAAUAGCACUGCUCUAUAAUAAUGUUCUACAAGUGGAGCACAAAUGGCCUAAGCCUGCAAUGCAAUCUUUGUUCCAGUGUAAUCUUCCGUAUCAAACACUGACACUCCCCAGAGCCAAGAGAACAGCCUUUCUCCCAUUUCCCAUAACUAGCUACUGCUUUCCUCUCCUCACUUUAUGGAGAGUUGUGCAAUGAACCUCCCCUUUGGGAUGGCUAAUCAUGUUUGACAGCAUAGGAACUGUCCUACAUCUUGACCAGGCGUCCUGUACAAAGCCCACACUGUUUUUGUUCAAAUACAAAAUGAGUUAGCUUCAUGUGAGUUUCCGAGCUUGCUUGGGGUACAUACUUUGUCCUGAAGACACAUGGGAACACUGCGAUGCAAGACACUCCCGGGAAAAUCACUGCUUGGAAAGACUUGGAAAUACUUCAACUUAUGCCGAGACAGAUAACACUUGUGUUUUCUGAGCUGGAGUCCCAUGUUCCCAUUUUGCCUAAGAAAGCUUUAAUGUUGCUAACUAGCUGAAGAUACCUGGAGCUCCAGAUCCUCCUUUCCUACCUUUUACAUGCUGUACUGAGGCUGCUGGAAUGUGGCAUCAUACCCAGCCUGGGAAAAGAUCUUUUUAGAGAUAUUAUAGUAAAAAAAAAAUCUAUUACUAAAUCAGAGGAAAAUGGCAAAGGCUGUGUUAUGGUCAGAAACUCUGCCUGGGAAUGCUGAGGCUAGACAGUGAAGAAUCUCUAUCUGGACUGGGCGAGAAUCUGUUGUAGAUUAAUCUUGCUGAACGCCAUGAAGUCAGUGUGUCACCUGGCAUCAAAACCAAUUCAUUCACAAGAAUCCUGGAAACCAAUCAGCAUUUGGGGGGAGAAAAUUCAUCUGUCACAUGGAAACACUGACUAAUGAUGAUUCUCUGAAUAAAUGUUUACCUGUUGCUAGUGUAGGGAAUAUGGCAACAUAGAGAACAAAGACUUGACAUAGUAGCAUCUUCAGACUGUAACUCAGUUCAUCCCUUAGUAGGUGACAUUUUUAGUGUGCAUUGUAAGUUUAGAACCUUCUACUCUCAUCUGAACUGUAGUACAUCAAAUAUCAUCUUGCUUUGAAAUAAUCCACACAUGUAAAUAUUUUCUCUUUGGCAAGAUUUAAAUACAUUGGGGGAAAAGGCAUUUUUCUUUUUCUUUUCCUCUAUUUUCCCAUAAUAUUCCCAUAAAGCAAGAGAUAGUUGCCCAAUGUGUGUCAUCCAGAAUGGGACACAUACAAUGGAUCAAUGGCUACGUGAAGGAAAGCAAGCAAGGAAAUAGGGAAGAGUUAGAGGUGUAAAAGAGUAUGUUUUGUUUUUUUUUAAUAGAGAAACACCUUUGUGGUCUCAGGCCAUUUAAUAGCAGAAAUCAGAAUGAUGUGAUGGUAUGUGAUAGACCAAAUCUCAGGAUGAGAUCUCUCUAGGCAUGAAAGGCAAGUACAAAGACCCCCAGGCAGCUAUGUGUCUAGUAUUUUGGCAAUAGGAGCUAGUGUGUUCUCAGGCUCAAAAGUACCAUGAGAUGGGUUCAAAGAGGUGAAGAGGGGGUCAGUUAGAAGAUCUGUGAUUGCGGUAAUGGAUGUGGAGUAGAAAAUGAAGUUUUAAGGGGGAUACCAAGUAUCAAAUAUGGAAAUGACUUUGGACAAAUUUUAAAGUAAGCUUGAGGGUCACUAAAAACUUAAUAUUUAGGUACAAAAUAGUAUUUGUGUUAAAGAUGUUCAAUUGUGGAAAAAGUUAAGAGUGUUAAAAAGUGUUAAAUACUCAGAAAAGGCCAUAUUGCUUCAUAUGUAAUCCUACUUAGAAUAAAGAAUCAAUGAGGUUAUUUUUUGAACCACUUAAGCUGAUCCACAGUCAAUUUAAUUGAUCAUAUAAUUAUACUGAUUCAGUAAUUAAGACUUUGGGGGAAACUGGCCUCUGUUCAGGUCUUCUAUUUGCUGUUUUCAACUAGACAUCUCUGAAGGAAAUGUGUUUCGCUGUCUCUAGGGCAGUAAGUCUACUACAUUAGGCCCAUGAACAAGUUUUGUAGACCUUGUUAUUUAUCCUAGAAGAGAAAUGUAUUUUUUUCUAAGAUAAAUUCCUCCAGCAAUGGCUAAGAUAUAAAGGGAAGGGGUGGUGGUACAAAGAUUAUUUGAUAAACCUCCAAACAGGCAGUUUAAAAAAAAAUCAUUAAUCCAACAUUCAUCUCCAUAAAACUUUACAUAUAAACCAGUUUCUAACUAUUCACUUUCAGUACCCAUUAAGUAUGUUCUGUUGACAAAAAUGCCUUCCUGUUCUUCUUGGCUACUUUCUUCUGCAAGAUUCCAAAGCCUUCAUUUGUUAUAGGUUCUGUAAUUGGCAAAUGGUAGAUAAUUGCAGAAAGUACUACUAAAAGGAGUACUGUGUGGAACACUUUUCAUUGUCUGGGAUUGUGAUCUUCUGUUGAUGGCCACUGCUAUUUCCAGUGGAAUUCAGCUGUACUGGUUUGGUCCUAGUAAGAAGUCAUCUCUCUCAAAAGGGGCACUGGGUUUGAAGUACCUUGAUUCCCAUGACAUUUGAGUGGACUUUAUAGAAGAGUGACAUAUGCCAAAUUGUGAGCUCCUUGAUUAGUAUGGCUUUGUGGGCCAUAUGGCCAUAUUGUAAAUAAUUAGACUUGUUCAAGUGCUAUGCUAGAGUCAUCACAGGUAUAGGACAGGGUGGUUGGGGUGUCUUGAAGAAGCCUGAACAUUGUGGUAUUAGACUCCAGUUCUCCCUCUGGUCUUAUAUUUGACUAAUGCUGCUGUAGUUUUCUGUGAAUCAUUGCUUGGGAUGCUUAUUUUAUUCCCUAGGCAAGUAUAAUGCACAAAGACAGAAGGGAUUAAUAGUCAUUUGCUGGUUUUAGUUUCUGUUUGUUUUAAAUAGUGAUGGUGAAUGCUCUAGUUGCUCUCAGAAACUGGAUUAAGGAUUUAGAUGGUGUCUGUGCAUGCCAGACAAAGCUAUAACAAAGCAGGUCUUUCAUCUGCAUAAUGGCAACCUCUUCCUGGGGCAAAAGCACAGGAGCCUUCUGGUCUACCCUCUACUCUGUUCCAACUCCUCUGAUGUCUUGCUUUGUUCAGUGACACCUGUGGAGGUUGCAUCCAUUGACCAAUCUUCCUGUCAGCAACAAACCUUUGUUCCUUGCAAAAUGAUACUCAACACCAGCAAAGAAGGAUGAGGUUUGUCUUCAGUCACUCUCCAGUCAUUUUGGAAGAUCCACAAGCUAGAUCAAAGAAAGAAUAGUGGAGACUUUCAUGUUCCUGUGAGGAAAUGGGGCUGAUGGCACAAUUCUGUGCCACCCAUAUCUCAUUGCAAUGCUCCUGACUCUCUGUCAAAGGUCUUUCCUUCACUCUCCCUCCCUGUCCACUUACCUCCAUUAUGCAAGAGGUGUGCAUGCCACACCAAAUGCCAUUCACAUUAUUCACAGACUUCAUUUGUGGGGUCUGAGAAGUUCUGGAUGAGGUCAGGCUGAACAGUGUGCCAAGGUAUGCUAUCAGUCAUUAGAGCAUCAAGAAAUUUAAAAACACCAUUGCAUAAUGACAGUGAUAAUUGGGCCCUGUGAUAAUAACAAGCAUUAGGUGGCAUCACAGAUCUAGGCUACACUCUAGGUGAGGUAUGAGCAUAGAUGGAAAAGGAUUGGAGUACAGCUCCUGUUCUCCACACACUCAACAGAGAAGAGUGCGUGGCAUUUAAAAGUAGAGGUCCUGAGUUCAGAGUAGCCUUGCAGUCAGCUAGGGCCCUGGUCUGAGAAGAACCUUGGCCACAUCCAGCCAUUCAGCUUCAGAGGAGAUAAUGGGGGGAGGAGUCAUUAAAUGUCCUCUGAUGUCCUUUGAAAUAUUUCAUUUUCAUUGCCAGUCACUACCCAUAUAAACUGUACUCUUCUUUUCCCAAACAGUAUUUCCUGAGUCUGUUUCUUACCAUGUAUGGCAGGCAUGAGAGACGGUGGGAAGGGGGAGGGGAGGAGCUUCUCAGACUGCUCUUUGAAGUCACUUUCUCUAAACUUAUCUCCUGACAUUAGUAUUUGCUAUGGGAACGACUAGGCUACUUCACUGGGAGGGGAGGAAGCAGUAACAGGGCUCAGAAGCAGAAUCCAUCACAGGUAUUCCUGCCGAGCCAGGGACUUAGCAUGGGGCAAGGAAGGGUGGGCUCCUCCAAACAGUACAUUCUCUGUCCAUCCAUGGAAGCUUUCUCAUACUGGACAACUCUCAGGAGUUAUUUAAUUUCAUCUGCAUAGUGGUUCUGUGGUGUGGCUAUUAUUAGCUCUAUUCUAUAUAUGAGGAAACCGAGAUGCAUAGUGAUUAAAUAUCUUAGCCAUGACCACAUGGCUAGCAAGUGGAAGAACCGGUCUGCAAAGGGAAAGUCUUUUCUGUCUUGUUCUUUGCAGUGUGUAAAGUAUCUCUUGGAUCAGGACUCUUUGGGUGGUGGGGAAAUGGCAGAACCAUUCAGUAGGUUAGUAAUUCCAAAUUUGGAUGUAAAUACAGCAUCAUCUUUGCGUACCCCAUUAGGAUACUCUGGAUAGGCCUAUGUGGUAGAGAAUGUAUGCUAUUUAAUCCCUUUCCCAAUCCCAGGGCACUGUAAGCUGGUCCAUGCUACAUUUGUCAUUGUUCUCUUAUCAGUAACUGUUAAGUAGGGGUGCAUCUGUAGGAAAUGCAUUGCCUUGAGGAGAGUCUGUGUGUGGGAUGACCCAUUUGGCACCUGGUCCAUUACUCACCACACAAUGAUGGACAGAAAGACUCCUAAGCCCCACUCACUGGGGUUUUGGCCCAAUCUGAGUCUAUAAUUCCCCAUUCUGAAAGGGACACCUGGGAAGGUGAUUAGCAUAGUACGUACUGUGAACCCACAGCAAAGGCUGCAAGAGUGAAAGGAUGACCCUUCUUCUCUAUGCUGAGGAAACCCAAACCUUCCAUUUCAUAAUGCAAGCCGGCCUUCUAUGUUGCCUGCCUGCUCUCGGUGAUGUGACAGAGAUUGCAUCAGCUGUCUCUGCUCUGGAUGAGGCCCCUGAUUGGGCAGGGACCUUCAGGAUAUUCCAUAGUAAGCUGGUCUUAGGGUCGCUUGUCUCCUCUUAUGGGAAAGUAAGUUCCAUUGGCAUUCUUGGGACAAUAGCUGCCAUUGGUGACUCUGGAGACCUUUUUGGUGGUCCUCAUGGUUUUUGCCCAGAUUCCAGAGCAUUCUUGUGAAUGUGUCUGUUUAAUUUGCUGGGAAAUUCACUGCUUGGAAAUAACUCUUGUUUGGCUUUAAGUUUCUUAUUGUCUGAUUCUGGCUGGAUCAUGAAGUAACUCUGUCACUGCUGCCACACUUAUAAAGUAUGAAUUCAGUCCUUUCAUGGGCUUUCACUGUCCAGCACUCACCACUUUUCUCUUUAUCUUCUAAAACACACUCAUGUGUCCUGUCUAAAAUCCCAAUAAAUCUUGUAAGAUUAAUGAGUCAGAGAGAAGUCACAAUUUCUUAUGCACAUUCAUAUGUGUGCUAAAAACAGACCCUGGUCUCCGAUAUACUGCUUACAGUGUUCCCAUGAGACCAGGGUCGUUAUCAUAAUCCAUGGUUCACGAGAUUAAAACAGAGACCAUUCCUCUUAUUUCUUGUUGCAAAAAAACCCAAAAAUGCCCUCUGAAAUCAAGCACGGCAAAAAUGAAUACAAGGAGCAGAAACCUCUGUCCUGAGGCUCUGCCCUUCCUGAUUUGGUUGAUUACACUUCCCUCAGCCCCUCCCUCUUAUUGCAUGGGCACAGACUCAUUACCCCAUUAGAAGCUGGCUGGGAAAGACAAGGGCACAAUGGAAGCCUAGAGGAAUCUGGCUGGGGUGCCAGAGUUAACAACCCUUCCUGUAAAAUAAAAGCAGACAGUAUUUUUGACUGGAGCACAUUCUCGGGGCAUUCAAAAAGUCUUGGAAACCAUCCAUGGCUGUUGAUUUCAAGUAAGAAAAUAUCCCAGAGGAACAUGAGGCAAAAGCAUGUGCUCGAGGCCCUCACUGAAUGCAUAUGGGGGCCCAAGGCAGGGUGUGAAAUGGGGGGGCCACACGCUGUAAGCUUGAACACCGAAGAGCUGUGAUGCAACAUUGAAAAUCCUUAGAUGAAGAGAAAUGCCCUUCCUUCACAACAAAUGUAUUUUUAUCAGUAGUCUACAGACUGGGUCAUAUAUUAUUUCCUGAUGCUUUGGAGUUCCAUUCUGGGAGUUGUCUAGGGAGAUCUGGCCUCUCCUUUCUUGGCCUUUGGUUCUAGGUGUGGCCUCUUCUAACAGCCUGUCUCCCUCCUGCCAUAUUUGGGACUACACAUGCACAUGGGACAUUUUGUUAUACAACACACUCCCAGCUCCUGUAACCACUAUCCCUAGGUCUCAUAUGACUAGAGGUGGGAAAAUAUGUCCACUUUGUACUAUCAUAGGUGGACUGACCUAGGAAAAAGGGUCUCGUAAGGUCUUGGAAGAUGUGCCCAAAUGGUUGAGAAAUGAAAAACAGAAUCCUUAUUACCCAGAAUCCAUCUAGGAGUGAGCCAGAGACUAAUUCAUCCCUUUUGACCCCCAGUAAGAAAGAGAUGGCAUCAUGCAAGAAUGCCCAUGGAGGCUUGUCAGAGAAAGGCCACAAGGUUCCCUGGCCUAGAUUUCUGGAUGGAUAUGGAUCCUUUGUAAGGAACACAAAGCGUGGACACUUGCCACAGUGCCUGCAGAUGAAGGCACAAUAGGAACAGCCACUUGGAAUCCUUGUGCCUUCCCUUGGGCAACCACUUCCCAACUCUGCACAUAUACACACAGCCUGGGAACCAGACAUAUAUCCUCUCAUGAUAGUCUACCAAUGAUGCUGUCUCAGUCAGGACAACAGAGAACAAUGGCUUCUUCCAGUGGGGUGUGUGUGUGUGUGUGUGUGUGUGUGUGUGUGUGUGUGUGUAUGUGUGUGUGUGUGUGUAGAAUUCAAAGCUGAGGUAACCCAGGAAAGUCUUAUAGGCGGAGAGCGGCUGUGCUAGUGGACUAUAGCUAACAAAAGCAUCUGUGGUUGGUUGGAGCAGUCAGUAAGAUGGUGACAGUGGGAGAUAGGACUCUUGACUGGCUUCUCCUUUAGGCUCUAUGUAGGAUGAAAGUCAAAGUGGUUAGCUUUUAGAACCCCUUACAAAUGCCAUGCAAACAAACACUAGCCCCUGGAUGCUUAUCUACUCUACCUACCCACUGACCUCGGCAUAACUUCCAGAAACCCCUUAAGUCUAACAUUGUGUUAGACCCUAUCAGUUGACUUGCAUGAAAGAGUGUAAAUCUAAGACUCAAAUCACUGACUCAUUGCACUUACUCCAGGCCUGGUAAAUACAGGGGAAACUUAAAAUCUCAUGUGUGGACUGUGUCCUCUAGGAGUUCAACGAUGUGAAAUCAGACAAUCCCAAGGCAUACCCAUUUUUUCAAAGCCUGUUUCUGGGUACAUCUACAAGUGAGUUGUUUGAGAGACAAAACUCCCACACUUAGAACACAAUUUCUUCUCUCAGCAGAAGAGGCUUCUAUUCAAAGCCUAGGUUAAGGGUGACCUUGACAUAGCAAAGUGAUUUAUUGAGGAUCUUUUCCCAGCAGAAAAGGCUUAGGUUCUGGGAAGUAGAGUUGAACAAAUAGAAGAUUCUCUUUGUGAUGAAGACUACAAAUGUAGUUUCAAAUGGAAUGUGUAUUUAGAAUGAGGAAAUAAAUCAUAAUAGUGGUUGGGGUCUUAGAGAUUUCAGAUCUUCUUUGCUAAGAUCUCAUGAGGAUAGUUUCCAGAUAUACUAGUGGUUACAGGCUGGCAUCCCAUCUUACCUAGGAAACUAUACCAAGCCCAGUGGAUUGCAACAUGCUUAGAGUCUUUCCCCUAUGCUCCCAUUCCUCAGAAAUAUAAAUGGUUAUUAUCUAUCGCCCUCUGCAUUUCUGCAACAUAGAAGGAACUGAUUUGAUUGGUGCAUCUCUCACAUCCUUUAAUUCUCAUCCAUUCGACCCCGCCUGCUCCUCAGUCCUUAACCCUAACCACACCUGCAGUGUGACCAUCUCUGUUUGUCCUUUAACACUGUUCUGGCACCUUUUGAAGCAAUGUUUCUCCACUGGGACACAGUUGAGUCCCCAGGAAUGUUGGGUAACACCUGUUGAAAUUGUGGAUUUGCAUAGUUUGUGUGUGUGGUGGUGGUGGUGGUGCUAACCUGAAUGUGGUAGGCAGAGAAAAAUACCCCUCAGUGCACAGGGUAGUCACAGCAUCAAAUAAGUCACACCAUCUAAAUUGUAAGUGGUGCUGAGGCUGAGAAGCCUUACUCUUAUGUGAUGUAGCAACUUGGUUCUGUGCUCCUGGAGCCACAUCCUCAGUAUCUACGCUUGUGACUUACUGGGCCUGCUUUAUUCAUUGACUGUGGCAUAUUGAACCACGUAAGGAGAUUUUAAUCUCUCUAGUGUCUCCAGAACCUAACUAUAUCAUACACACUGAAUUUUCUAUAAUGAUAACUCAAAGUGAAGGCUCAACUUUUAUCUGAGCCACAUGUUAGCAAGUCUACCUUUUAGUAUGCUUUUGAAAAAUAUUUUUUCCUGCAAAUAUCAUGGUUUUAUUUUUUUAUUAUCUUUAUUAACUUGAGUAUUUCUUAUUUACAUUUCGAUUGUUAUUCCCUUUCCUGGUUUCCGGGCCAACAGCCCCCAAUCCCUCCCCUUCCCCCUCUAUAUUGGUGUUCCCCUCCCCAUCCU